AAAUGAAAGAUCUGACAAUAGGCUAGGGUAAGGUGUUUUGUGAGGUAUAGGUAUGAUCAGGCCAACAGAUCAGGAGAUGACUGCCAUUAAAAGAUAGUUUGUUAGUCAUAGUUCUCAAGAGGAAGUGCAUACCAUGCCACCCAUGGCCCGCGGAGAAGCACCAGAAUCAGAUUGCGUCCAACUCAAAUGACUGGGUCAUCUCAUGAGCGGACAAAACCGAGCAUAUACCCAAAUGGGCAUCAGCGGACUGGAUGAGCAAAAUGUGGUUUAUCUAUACGAUGGAAUAUUAUUCUUCAAUAAAAAGGAAUGAAGUACUGGAAGAUGCUACACCCUGGAUGAACCUUGAAAACGUACUACAUGAAAGAAGCCAGGGCUCCACCUAAGACACAGGGAUGAAUCCACAGAGCGAGUAGCGAGAGAGCUCAGCUCGGGGCUCGUGAUCAACCCUGCGGAAGGGCCUCUGGUGGGAAGCCCUAUAGAGGUGGUGUCCUCGUAACCCCUAUUUAUACGUAUCAAGCAAUCAAAACGUAAGCAAGGUAAGUACUGGGGGGCGGGGGGGUCAAGAUUCACGUCCAGCCCAAGUGCCCUCAUCCUUAAUGGCGGUGCCCUGCUGCUGGCAAAGGAUGCAGAACUGACACCAGGAACAGAGAAGCUAGAAUUUUCUUUCCCUCAUGAAUCCUCCCACCAGGCCUUCAGGUAAGCACCUCAGCUUUGCAAGCCAUUCAUUUUGGAAGAGAAGCUAAAAGGUAAGUGUGAGCUUACUAGGGCUGCCAAAAGUACCACACUGGGAGGCUUAAACAAGAGAAACAUACGGUCUCACAGGUCUGGAGGCAGAGGUCCAAGGUCAAGGUGUGGCCAGGGUUGGUUCCUUCUGCUGGUUGGGAGGGAGAGUCUCUUCCAUGUCUCUUGCCUAGCUUCAGGCAGUUUGCCUACUGUCUUUGGUGUUCUCUUGUGGAUAGACACACACCACACACCCCGAUCUCUGCCUUCAUGUUCCCGUGGUGUUCUUGCAGUGUGCGUGUCUCCAGAUUUCCCCUUUUCAUAAGAACGCAAUCAUCUUGGAAUGGAGGCCAUACUCCAGUAUGACUUCAUCUUAAGUAAUCACAUCUGCAAUGACCCUAAUUCCAAAUAAGGUCAUGUUCUGAGGUAGAGGGGAUUCACUACAUGAACGGCUUGGAGAUGGGUGGGGAGAUGAGGACGAUUCAACCCGUAGCAGGAAGCAAACAUCUUCCUGGAACUAACUCCAAAUGCCUAGAUCCUAAAGAUGUCAAAAAUACAUCCCUGGGCAGGGCCAACCUGCCACACUAGACACACUAGGUAAGAAGGUCCACUUGUCUCCAGGACUUGAGAAACCAUCACCUAUGAUGUAGAAUCAACUAGGAAAAGGGAGGGGGAGGUUAAGGGAAUUCUUAUAAGGAGAGUUCUUUUUUUCCCCUCACACUUGGCUUCAACUUUAAUCAUACUAUUCCAGAUAUCUGUGCCAUCCAAUUAUAACAUAGAAAUGCAGCAAAUCAGGGGAAAGUGGGCUUUUGGUACCUGCCACUAACCAGCAUGUGAAACUCUCCCCCUUGAAUAGCAUUUGAAUAAAAGCUGAGCUCCUUUGGGGGUGGAGGCAAGGUUGAAUUAGAGAAGAUGUAAAGAUUUCUCUGAACAAAGCUCUAAGAAGUAAAGCAAAGAGAACUGAUGUUCUGUAUCAAACUGCCUGGGAAAGACGUAGUAAUCUAUUGAUUUCAUUAUUAGAGGUUUCCCACAUCGUGCCACCACUCAGUGUGGGAUGGGCCAAGUGUAGAAAACCACAAAAUCUGAAUCCUACCAGAAGUGCCUCUGGUGAGGGCUGAGAAGAGCAACUUUUCUCUGGGUACUUCUUUUUUUAGGCAGCACCCUAAUUAAUUGGAGAGAGAACAGUGUGGACAUUCUUGAGAAGGCCAAUUCCCAACCAAUGCAGAAUUCAGUUUGGUUGAAUGUCUAUCACACAGGGGAAGAUUCAGAGACUCGGGUUCCAGCCUUUGCUGUGAAGACCCCUUCUUCCCUUUACUUGCUGUGUAUUGCACUCCUGGGCACGUCGGGUGUUGUGAAAACAGUGGGUGAGGAAGUCAGAUUCACCCAGCAGCUCCUCUCAUGGAGCCCUGCAGCCUGCAACCAGUACCUUUCCUCGCGUGUAAGUGUUGGUCAGUGAUGGGAAAAUAGACAAUUGAAUCUUCCUGAGGAUUUCAGUUCACCGAACAUCCAUCUGGUCUGCAGCUUGGGUCCAGACAGUAUGUUCAGGGCUAGAAGGCUAUAGAGCAAGGGAGGGGAACGAGACAUGGGGUGAGCUGGAUGGGACCCCUGCGUUGGAGCCCCAGAAACAGGGAGGGGAAGGCAGACAUGCCGCUGACUGAGAUGGGUGCUCAACAGGAACCAAGCAAAGGAGGGACCUAUUCUUAGUGCUGAGGGAAAGUAGAAGGUUCACAGUAGCCAGGGGCACCCCUUAUGCUGGGCUCUGAAGGUAGAGAUGCUUCCUUAGGUAAAAACCUGAUGAAAGACAGGCCAGGGUCAAGAUGCAGUGUGAGCAAAGGUCCUGGGCAUGAACACGCUGUCCUGGCAAGAAAGGCAUGUAGCAAACGUAGCAGUCCUCAGUAACGUGGCUCCUGUCUCCCAGCCCCUUCAUCCUGUCCUAGGGACCCAAACACGCAGCUCAGAAGACAGUCAGGAGACAGCAGGCUCCAAGAGCCAUCAGAGUAAUUCAGGACACAUAAAAUGCAUCUGUGUCUGUGGGUCAAAUCCAGACCCUACCCAUCCUGGUUCAAGUUGAAAGGACACAGAAGUUCCAAGGGGAUGAGUGACUCGCACGAGGCCACCUGGUCGUGAUCUCAUAGGCUGUGGGUUCGAGCUUCGUGUCAGGUCUGCACUGGGCACCGAGUCUGCUGAUCCCUCUCCCUCUGCCCCUCCCCACCCAUCCCACCCCACUCCACCCCAUCCCACCUGCCCCCCAUUCAUGCUCACACUCUCUCUCUCUCA